rnacentral:rRNA from 1 species
GACGAACGCUGGCGGCGUGCCUAAUACAUGCAAGUAGAACGCACAGUUUAUACCGUAGCUUGCUACACCAUAGACUGUGAGUUGCGAACGGGUGAGUAACGCGUAGGUAACCUGCCUGGUAGCGGGGGAUAACUAUUGGAAACGAUAGCUAAUACCGCAUAAUAUUAAUUAUUGCAUGAUAAUUAAUUGAAAGGUGCAAUUGCACCACUACCAGAUGGACCUGCGUUGUAUUAGCUAGUAGGUGAGGUAACGACUCACCUAGGCGACGAUACAUAGCCGACCUGAGAGGGUGAUCGGCCACACUGGGACUGAGACACGGCCCAGACUCCUACGGGAGGCAGCAGUAGGGAAUCUUCGGCAAUGGACGAAAGUCUGACCGAGCAACGCCGCGUGAGUGAAGAAGGUUUUCGGAUCGUAAAGCUCUGUUGUAAGAGAAGAACGGGUGUGAGAGUGGAAAGUUCACACUGUGACGGUAUCUUACCAGAAAGGGACGGCUAACUACGUG